rnacentral:tRNA from 1 species
ACUUGGGUAUUUUAAUUUAAAAAAUUAUGAUUUGUGGUAUCCUAGAUAUCUUUUUGAUCUUAGGUC